CUGUCCUUUAGAGUGGGGAAGUAACGGGUACGAAAGACCUCGCUUAAAUACCGCAUAUGACGAAAGUUGAAAGGAGUAAUCCGUCUAAAGAUGAGCCCGCGUCCGAUUAGCUAGUUGGUAGAGUAAAAGCCUACCAAGGCGACGAUCGGUAGCUGGUCUGAGAGGAUGAUCAGCCACAAUGGGACUGAGACACGGCCCAUACUCCUACGGGAGGCAGCAGUGGGGAAUUUUACGCAAUGGGCGAAAGCCUGACGUAGCGACACCGCGUGAGCGAAGAAGCCCCUUGGGGUGUAAAGCUCUGUCAGCUGGAACGAAAAAAAUGACGGUACCAGCAGAGGAAGCAUCGGCUAACUACGUG
rnacentral:rRNA from 1 species